rnacentral:rRNA from 1 species
AUUGAACGCUAGCUACAGGCUUAACACAUGCAAGUCGAGGGACCGGCGCACGGGUGAGUAACACGUAUCCAACCUGCCCUUUACUCGGGGAUAGCCUUUCGAAAGAAAGAUUAAUACCCGAUAUAAAGGAUGGGGAUGCGUUCAAUUAGGUUGUUGGUGAGGUAACGGCCCACCAAGCCUUCGAUGGAUAGGGGUUCUGAGAGGAAGGUCCCGCACAUUGGAACUGGUACACGUUCCAAACUACUACGGGAGGCAGCAGUGAGGAAUAUUGGUCAAUGGGCGUGAGCCUGAACCAGCCAAGUAGCGUGAAGGAUGAAGGCUUAUGGGUCGUAAACUUCUUUUAUAUAAGAAUAUGGAUUAUAUGAAUAAGGAUCGGCUAACUCCGUGCCAGCCGCCGCGGUAAUUC